rnacentral:rRNA from 1 species
GAUAAACGCUGGCGGCGUGCCUAAUACAUGCAAGUCGAGCGAACGGACGAGAAGCUUGCUUCUCUGAUGUUAGCGGCGGACGGGUGAGUAACACGUGGAUAACCUACCUAUAAGACUGGGAUAACUUCGGGAAACCGGAGCUAAUACCGGAUAAUAUUUUGAACCGCAUGGUUCAAAAGUGAAAGACGGUCUUGCUGUCACUUAUAGAUGGAUCCGCGCUGCAUUAGCUAGUUGGUAAGGUAACGGCUUACCAAGGCAACGAUGCAUAGCCGACCUGAGAGGGUGAUCGGCCACACUGGAACUGAGACACGGUCCAGACUCCUACGGGAGGCAGCAGUAGGGAAUCUUCCGCAAUGGGCGAAAGCCUGACGGAGCAACGCCGCGUGAGUGAUGAAGGUCUUCGGAUCGUAAAACUCUGUUAUUAGGGAAGAACAUAUGUGUAAGUAACUGUGCACAUCUUGACGGUACCUAAUCAGAAAGCCACGGCUAACUACGUGCCAGCAGCCGCGGUAAUACGUAGGUGGCAAGCGUUAUCCGGAAUUAUUGGGCGUAAAGCGCGCGUAGGCGGUUUUUUAAGUCUGACGUGAAAGCCCACGGCUCAACCGUGGAGGGUCAUUGGAAACUGGAAAACUUGAGUGCAGAAGAGGAAAGUGGAAUUCCAUGUGUAGCGGUGAAAUGCGCAGAGAUAUGGAGGAACACCAGUGGCGAAGGCGACUUUCUGGUCUGUAACUGACGCUGAUGUGCGAAAGCGUGGGGAUCAAACAGGAUUAGAUACCCUGGUAGUCCACGCCGUAAACGAUGAGUGCUAAGUGUUAGGGGGUUUCCGCCCCUUAGUGCUGCAGCUAACGCAUUAAGCACUCCGCCUGGGGAGUACGACCGCAAGGUUGAAACUCAAAGGAAUUGACGGGGACCCGCACAAGCGGUGGAGCAUGUGGUUUAAUUCGAAGCAACGCGAAGAACCUUACCAAAUCUUGACAUCCUUUGACAACUCUAGAGAUAGAGCCUUCCCCUUCGGGGGACAAAGUGACAGGUGGUGCAUGGUUGUCGUCAGCUCGUGUCGUGAGAUGUUGGGUUAAGUCCCGCAACGAGCGCAACCCUUAAGCUUAGUUGCCAUCAUUAAGUUGGGCACUCUAAGUUGACUGCCGGUGACAAACCGGAGGAAGGUGGGGAUGACGUCAAAUCAUCAUGCCCCUUAUGAUUUGGGCUACACACGUGCUACAAUGGACAAUACAAAGGGCAGCGAAACCGCGAGGUCAAGCAAAUCCCAUAAAGUUGUUCUCAGUUCGGAUUGUAGUCUGCAACUCGACUACAUGAAGCUGGAAUCGCUAGUAAUCGUAGAUCAGCAUGCUACGGUGAAUACGUUCCCGGGUCU